rnacentral:lncRNA from 1 species
CUUGUUUGGUUUGCUAUUCCUGAUUUCUGUCUAUUUCAAUCUUUCAUAUCCUAAAUAUUUGUUUGAUAACACAACAACACUUCAUGGCAACUUGAAUCUUAUUGAAGUAAGACAGACUCUGAAAAAAAGAGACAACAUGCUCUGAAAAUCUGUAAUAAUCUUCAUUCAACCAAUUUUAAAUAUUUUCUUUAAAAUUAGACAUUCUUUAAACUCUGAAAAAACCCUUUUACUAAUGUAUAUAUUAUCCAUUUUUUUAUAUAAUAAGAUUAUUAUUCAAGCAAUAUUUCUCUAGAGUAUAAAUAGAUCUUAUUGUAAGAACAAGAACAAUAUUUUUCGGUGAGAAUUGGCUGGACAUUGAAUCUAUAUAGAAAUUCAUGUAGAGACAUUGCAUAAAUAUUUCAAUACAUAUAUUGAUGAAAGGUUGUUAAAGGUGAUGGUUAGAACAAGCUUUUUCAUGCGACGCCUAGGUGUCGCAUAUGCGACCAUGCACUCCAGCGCAUGUAGGCGUUUGCCUUCAUGCCUUCCGGGUUAGGCCUUUUCUUCCCUUCCCUCCCACCUUUGAACCCUAAACCCUAGAUUUUCAUAUCAUCUUCCCACCCAUUUUCUCCGGCCAUCUUCGAGGGAUACUUCGGCCACCACAAGGAAAGACUCUGGCGACCUCCAGGCGUGCUCUGGCCAUCGUCGACCUCGCCGCCGGCGACCUCCGACCAUCGUCGACCUAGGUAAUUUUUAUCUCAAAUUUUUUAUCUAUUUUUCCUAUGUGUCUCCUAUCUGUCCAGACCUAGUCCAACGAGCUCUUAAAGAACACUCCGGACAACAAUUAAUUCAUCUCUGUCUAGCCACAUUAAAAUCACCUCGGACAACAAUUUAAUCACUCCAGACAGGAAUUUGACAUUAGAUUUUUGAAGGUAAAAAUCUAAAAUUUAAAUUGUAAAUUUAUUUUACAAUUUACAUACCUAAAAUCUAACUUAGAUUGUUGGAUUGUAUUUAUUUUUAAAAUUUUCAGAAAUGUCGGAUGAUGAAGAAUACCUUCCUCCAUCAAAUGAAGAACAAGUAGAGGAGGAGGUAGUGAAGUGGCACUCUUCGUUUUCAGAAGAAAUCAUUAAUAGUAAGACGAACCGACCGAAAUCCGAUGAUCUCGGAUGAAAAUACGGUUUCAUGAAAGAUCGAUCGAAUCAAAACAAUGUUCGAUAUCUUCUAUGUAACUUUCUUUCCAAGAGUGGAAUAGAUCGGUCGAAGGGUCAUCUUACGGGAGGAGACAAAAAUUGUGUGAAAUGUCCUAAUGCCCCGAGAUUUGUCUCAAGAGAAAUUGCGAACUAUGUUGCCAAGAAGAAAUUAGCGGCUAGCAAAUGCAAGGGCAAGCUACCAUUUAUUCCAUUGGUUGACAUCGUCGAUUUAGAUGACCUUAGCAAUGAGCGACCAUUGAAGAGGAAGUUGACGGUCUCCGGUUUCGUUUCAUCGUCUCCAGUCUCCUUCGUACUCGGUCCGUUACAUCUGAAGAAAGGGGAAACUAUUCAUGAUAUCGUCCGGAAAAGGAAGAUCGAGAAACAGAAAUCCGUCGUUGAACUUGCCAAAAAAAAAGAUAAGGCAAUGGUCGAUAAAAUCUUCUCAGGUUGGAUGUACAAAGUUGCAAUGCCAUUUAACCAAGCCCAAGAUAUUGAAUGUGAAGCGACUUGUGAAGCCAUUGGACGAUAUGGUCCGACAUGCAGGCCUCCAAAUAUGCGACAGUUGAGAGAGUCUCUUCUAGAAGAACUUGUGGGUGACAUCGAUGGGAUGAGAGCCAGACACGAGAUAAAGUGGAAGACCAAUAACUGUACUUUAUUGUCCGAUGGAUGGACGGACGCUAGAGGAAGAAACCUCAUCAACUUCUUGGUGAAUUCGACCGAAGGAUCUUUUUAUCUGUAUUCCAUAGGCACGACACAUGAACGGAAGACAACUUCUUACAUUGCAAAGACAUUAGAUCAAACAAUACAAGUCAUCGGUCCGAGUAAUGUGGUACAGAUAUGUACAGAUAAUGCGGCGAACUAUGUUAGUACCGGAGAAAUAUUGAUGAACAAAUACGACCAUUUAUUCUGGACACCAUGCGUAGCUCAUUGCAUGGAUCUAAUUUUGGAGAACAUUGGUAAAAUGACCAGGUACAAGAAGAUGAUUGCUGGUGGUCACAAGAUAGCGACCUACAUCUAUGCCCAUGGCGUUCUCCAUAGUACUUUCUUGACCGCAUCAGGUGGGAAAGAGUUGGUGAGAUGCAGAGUCACAAGAUUCGCAACUUCUUUUCUCACAUUACAGAGUCUGAAAGAACAGAGGGAUAAUUUGAAGAAGAUUGAUUGGUUCCCCUGGGCUAAUGUGACUUAUGGAACUGAAGUUCAAAAAUUAAUCUGCAACAAUUCUUUCUGGUUGAGCUUAUAUGAGUGUCUGACCAUUUCUGAACCGCCAGUGAGGUUGCUGAGAAUAGUCGACCAAGAUGAACAACCAUGCAUGGGCCAAGUUCUGAAUGACUUGAAGAGUGCAAGGAAAUACACUAGAGAUAUGUUGGUAAACAAGAAUCUGCCAUUGCUAACCCAAAUUGACAAGAUCUUUGAUAAGCGUUGGGAGAAGCAUUUCAGCAAACCUAUCUUUGGUGUCCGUGCCUUCCUCAACCCCAACGUUUUCUAUCGUCUAUGAGAAUCUGCUGAUGAGUAAGUAAUUGAUAUUCUUAAUUUUCAAUCUGAAUUUUCAAUGACUUAUUCCUUUUACGUUGUAGUGACGAACGAAGUCUAGUUUCGAAAUACGAAUUAGACUUCCAAACUUGCUUGAUGAAGAUGGAGUCGGACAAGGAUAAAAAAUUAGAAUUGUUGAACCACGCAAUGAUAUACAAGGAUAGGUUGAGACACUUCAUAAUGCCUUUAGCUGUGGAAUCUUCAUAUUCAAUGAACCCGGGUAAGAAUGACGAUGCAAGACUCAUGAGUUAUGGUUAAGUCAUUUAUACUCGUUUAAUGAUUCAUGAUAUGUUUUUUUACAGUUGCUUGGAAUUCAUUUGGUCUUAGGACCUGUGACCUUAGUGUGAUAGUAAAGAGGAUCUUAACACAUUCAGUCUCAUAAGUUCUAGUUCAAUACUUUAAUAGUUCAAUGACUUAUUGUUGAAUAACGUUUUUUGACUUUGUUCAAUGACUUAUUGUUGAAUAACGUUUUUUGACUUUGUUCAAUGACUUAUUGUUGAAUAACGUUUUUUGACUUUGUUCAAUGACUUAUUGUUGAAUAACGUUUUUUGACUUUGUUCAAUUGUUAUUUAGAUCCAUACAAAGAGACACACUCGUCUUGAAGUCGAGCGAAUGGGAAAGCACGUCUACAUUCACUACAACAAGCGAUUGAAUGAACGACAAUUGCAACGCAAACUAGAUUGUAAAGACAGACUCCAUAGCAGCGGAAGACAUAAACUAUAACUCUAAAUGGAUAACUGGCGAGGAAGGACUCGCCAAUGAGUGGGUUUAUGGUGAUGACAGUCUUACUUGGGUAGCCCUUGAAGACGCAAUGGGCGUCAAUGAAACAGAUGGUUCAACUACUAGACAAUAUAUUAGAGGAGUCGAAAACAAAGGGAGAGUUGGAUAUGAGAUCAAUGCUCAUCCCUCUUCUAAUUAUGCAAUCAUACGUAGCAUAUUUGUUUUAGGAAUGCUAGAAGUCCAAAUUCCUUUGGCAUAGGGCCUUCUUGCCUCUUUAGUUUGAUAGUCUUUUGAAUAUUAGCAAGCAACCAUUUUGAUCCACUCCCAAUCCAUUCUAAAUCACCAUUUGCAUUUUAUUGCCUACAUUGUGUGGAUACCUCUUGUUGUUUCAUCAUGUUUCUCCAAGAUGAUGAGUUGUUAUAUCUGUUGUAGCCAUCGUUUAACCACACUCUACUACCGUCCACAGUCCAUCCAUAGUCUUCCAAUUCUCUCUAUGAUUGCCAAUGUUUGGGUGGGUUCAAAGUCCAUCAUUAAUCCAAGUCUGCCUUCAUCAAUGAGAUAUAUCAUAUUAUCUCAUACUAUCUCCCUUUGAUUACCCCACAAAUCGAAUGAAGAGGAUUGUGCACUUUGGGCGAAAACUGCUCUGGAACACAUAGCCCAGCUUUUCGAGAAAUACCCAUGAGAGACAAACUGCAGUCGACCACUAUACGAAAGUGCUCUUUUAUCCCAUCUCGAUAUUAGAUCAUCGAGAUCCACAAUGAUGUGUUGGCAAUCCUUGUGUGAUAUGGAUUUGUCCGUAAUUGGUGCCCCCGAGUGUUGAAAAAAGUGGCAGUUGGUUCAAUUGGAAUCCCAAUAUGUUCGUAAGCUCUUCGACUCUUUUGGAGAAUACCACAUAACUAAAUCUAAAAUUAAAAAUUUGGUGAAGUCAUCAAGUAUGUACCUGGUUAUACCGACGUUCGCGCAAAGAAUAUGACAUCGUCAGCAAAGGUGAGGAAUGACAACACUUUUGUCCCCCUAUAUCAUAGAGCUCGAUGUCCCCCCGUAUCCAAAUAAGCAUUUGUCAGCCUUGCAAAAUAUUCCAAUACUAGUAUAAACUGGAUGUCUUGUCUUACCUCUCUGGUCGUUUGGAAUAUCUCCGUCGGUGAGCCUUUGAUAAGUGAAACGAAAGACAAUGAUUUGAGGUUUUCUUAGAUGAGUUCCUUGAAAAUUGAAUUGAACCCAAAUAAUUCCAGCAUGGAGUCCACCGUCUUCCAUCUCAACCUAUCGAAGGCUUUACGAAAGUCCACCGAUAUGCAACAUCGUCUUAAUAUAGCUUUGUUAUUGUAGCCAUGGUACCAACACGUAGGAAGGAAGGUCUCAUCGGUAAUAAUUUAGUAAAGUAAACACAAUAAUAAACAAAAAUACCUUCUUAAUAUAAAAAAGUAUUCUUAAUAAAAAUAAACAAAUAAUAAAGUAUUUGUCUUAGACUCUCAGUUGCAUAACU